rnacentral:rRNA from 1 species
CGAGAUAAUCAUGGUGAAGGAACUCGGCAAAAUACACCCGUAACUUCGGAAUAAGGGUGACCGGAUGCGUGGCGGAUUUACUCCUUAAGCGCUGAAGGUCGCAGAGACCAUGCCCAAGCGACUGUUUAUCAAAAACACAGGUCUGUGCCAAGUUGCAAGACGACGUAUACAGACUGACUCCUGCCCGGUGCUGGAAGGUUAAGGGGAAGUGUUAGCGCAAGCAAAGCACAGAACUUAAGCCCCAGUAAACGGCGGUGGUAACUAUAACCAUCCUAAGGUAGCGAAAUUCCUUGUCGGGUAAGUUCCGACCUGCACGAAUGGAGUAACGAUUUGGGCGCUGUCUCCACCAUGAACUCGGCGAAAUUGCAUUACGAGUAAAGAUGCUCGUUACGCGUAGCAGGACGGAAAGACCCCGGGACCUUUACUAUAGUUUGAUAUUGGUGAUCGGAGCGACAUGCGUAGGAUAGGUGGGAGACUUUGAAGCGAUUACUCCGGUAGUCGUGGAGUCGCUGUUGAAAUACCACUCUUGUCGUUUUGGUUAUCUAACCUAGGUCCGUUAUCCGGAUCAGGGACAGUGUCUGAUGGGUAGUUUGACUGGGGCGGUCGCCUCCCAAAAGGUAACGGAGGCGCCCAAAGGUUCCCUCAGCCUGGUUGGCAAUCAGGUUUCGAGUGUAAGUGCACAAGGGAGCUUGACUGUGAGAGGGACACCUCGAGCAGGGACGAAAGUCGGGACUAGUGAUCUUCUGGUGGCAUGUGGAAGCGCCAGAACUCAACGGAUAAAAGGUACCCCGGGGAUAACAGGCUGAUCUUGCCCGAGCGCUCACAGCGACGGCAUGGUUUGGCACCUCGAUGUCGGCUCGUCGCAUCCUGGGGCUGUAGCCGGUCCCAAGGGUUGGGCUGUUCGCCCAUUAAAGCGGCACGCGAGCUGGGUUCAGAACGUCGUGAGACAGUUCGGUCCCUAUCCGCUACGCGCGUAAGAAUCUUGAGAAGAGCUGUCCUUAGUACGAGAGGACCGGGACGGACUAACCUCUGGUGUGCCAGUUGUUCUGCCAAGAGCACGGCUGGUUGGCUACGUUGGGAAGUGAUAACCGCUGAAAGCAUCUAAGUGGGAAGCACGCUUCAAGAUGAGGGUUCUCACGGAAUAAUCCGGUAAGGCCCCCAGUAGACCACUGGGUUGAUAGGUCGGACGUGGAAGUGCUGUAAGGCAUGGAGCUGACCGAUACUAAUAGGCCGAGGGCUUG